rnacentral:rRNA from 1 species
GUGGGGAAUAUUGGACAAUGGGGGGAACCCUGAUCCAGCCAUGCCGCGUGUGUGAAGAAGGCCUUUUGGUUGUAAAGCACUUUAAGCGAGGAGGAGGCUACCGAGAUUAAUACUCUUGGAUAGUGGACGUUACUCGCAGAAUAAGCACCGGCUAACUCUGUGCCAGCAGCCGCGGUAAUACAGAGGGUGCAAGCGUUAAUCGGAUUUACUGGGCGUAAAGCGCGCGUAGGUGGCCAAUUAAGUCAAAUGUGAAAUCCCCGAUCUUAACUUGGGAAUUGCAUUCGAUACUGGUUGGCUAGAGUAUGGGAGAGGAUGGUAGAAUUCCAGGUGUAGCGGUGAAAUGCGUAGAGAUCUGGAGGAAUACCGAUGGCGAAGGCAGCCAUCUGGCCUAAUACUGACACUGAGGUGCGAAAGCAUGGGGAGCAAACAGGAUUAGAAACCCUGGUAGUCC